CAAGGUAGCCGUACUGGAAAGUGUGGCUGGAUCACCUCCUUUCUAAGAGAAAGGUAUUAUUUAAAGGUAAAUUAUGUUUUAACUCUUCCUUUGUCUUUUCAAAGACUGUUUUUGGGGGUUUAGCUCAGUUGGUUCAGAGCACCGGCUUUGCAAGCCGGGGGUCGAGGGUUCGAGUCCCUCAACCUCCAUUUAUUUUAGGUCGAAUAAAUGGAGGUUGUAAUUAGGGGUAAUGCUAUGUUAGUUAUAGCUAAAUUUAAAAUUGUUAAAAACCAUUCUAAUUUUAUUAUCUAGACAAGUUAUUUUUUAUUACGUUUUUCAUUAAGUAAAGUUGUUGACGUAUGGUAAGUUAUGAUAUGUGAUCCUAAUUUGAUUUUAAAGAUGUGGAUUUAGGACUUGUAAAUUACUAAGUGUAAGACAUUACUUUAAGUACUUGGAUGUUUAUUUAGAAGAGUCUUAGUAAAUUGGGACCAGGAGGAGUGAACUCCGACCUCAG
rnacentral:misc_RNA from 1 species